AUGCGUGAUCAGGUCGGUAUCGACCUGGAUGGAUUCCCACUCGACCAUGAGUUCCCGGAUGACUACGGGCUAGAUGAAGCGGACGAGUGCGACAUCUCAGUGGAGCCCUUGUUCAAGGACGAGCUCACCAACCAAGCCGCCGGUCCUAAGCUGAAGCACAAGAGCAAGCGCACGAAGGCAUACACGGCGGCCUCGGACAAGCUUCUUUGCGAGUGUUGGUGAGACAUUGGACAAGACCCCAAGAAGGGCGCCGAACAAAAUCAUUCAACUUUUUGGAUUCGUGUCCACCGAGAGUUUCGUGAACGCAAGAAGUUUCCGCCUUACCAACUUGUGAGCACGCGCGGGUGGGUGUCCAUUUCCAUGUGA
rnacentral:rRNA from 1 species